rnacentral:rRNA from 1 species
UUUACACAUGCAAGUCGAACGGUAGGGGGGGCAACCCCUCGAGAGUGGCGAACGGGUGAGUAAUAUAUCGGAACGUGCCCAGUCGUGGGGGAUAACGUAGCGAAAGCUACGCUAAUACCGCAUACGAUCUACGGAUGAAAGCGGGGGACCGUAAGGCCUCGCGCGAUUGGAGCGGCCGAUAUCAGAUUAGGUAGUUGGUGGGGUAAAGGCUCACCAAGCCAACGAUCUGUAGCUGGUCUGAGAGGACGACCAGCCACACUGGAACUGAGACACGGUCCAGACUCCUACGGGAGGCAGCAGUGGGGAAUUUUGGACAAUGGACGCAAGUCUGAUCCAGCCAUUCCGCGUGCAGGAUGAAGGCCCUCGGGUUGUAAACUGCUUUUGUACGGAACGAAAAGGUCUCUCUUAAUACGAGGGGCUCAUGACGGUACCGUAAGAAUAAGCACCGGCUAACUACGUGCCAGCAGCCGCGGUAAUACGUAGGGUGCAAGCGUUAAUCGGAAUUACUGGGCGUAAAGCGUGCGCAGGCGGUUAUGUAAGACAGAGGUGAAAUCCCCGGGCUCAACCUGGGAACUGCCUUUGUGACUGCAUAGCUAGAGUACGGUAGAGGGGGAUGGAAUUCCGCGUGUAGCAGUGAAAUGCGUAGAUAUGCGGAGGAACACCGAUGGCGAAGGCAAUCCCCUGGACCUGUACUGACGCUCAUGCACGAAAGCGUGGGGAGCAAACAGGAUUAGAUACCCUGGUAGUCCACGCCCUAAACGAUGUCAACUGGUUGUUGGGUCUUCACUGACUCAGUAACGAAGCUAACGCGUGAAGUUGACCGCCUGGGGAGUACGGCCGCAAGGUUGAAACUCAAAUGAAUUGAC